GCCAGUGUGGUGCAGUGUUUAGGGCGCCGGACUAGGACCUGGGAGACCUGGGUUCGAAUCCCCGCUCCGUCC